CCCUUAGAUGUUCUGGGCCGCACGCGCGCUACACUGAUGCAUUCAACGCGUCUAAAACCUGCUCUGAUAGGGGUGGGUAAUCUUUUGAAUGUGCAUCGUGAUUGGGAUAGAUGAUUGCAAUUUUUCAUCUUCAACGAGGAAUGCCUAGUAAACGCAAGUCAUCAGCUUGCAUUGAUUACGUCCCUGCCCUUUGUACACACCGCCCGUCGCUCCUACCGAUUGAAUGAUCCGAUGAAUAUCAUGGAUUGAGGAUUAUAGCAGGUUCGCCUGUCUUGAUCUUCGAGAAGUGAAGUAAAUCUUAUCAUUUAGAGGAAGGAGAAGUCGUAACA
rnacentral:rRNA from 1 species